rnacentral:rRNA from 1 species
UACGUAGGGGGCAAGCGUUGUCCGGAAUCAUUGGGCGUAAAGAGCGUGUAGGCGGCCAGAUAAGUCCGCUGUGAAAACUCGAGGCUUAACCUCGAGAUGUCAUCGGAAACCAUCUGGCUAGAGUCCGGAAGAGGAGAGUGGAAUUCCUGGUGUAGCGGUGAAAUGCGCAGAUAUCAGGAAGAACACCCGUGGCGAAGGCGGCUCUCUGGAACGCAACUGACGCUGAGACGCGAAAGCGUGGGGAGCAAACAGG